rnacentral:rRNA from 1 species
UACGUAGGGAGCAAGCGUUGUCCGGAAUCAUUGGGCGUAAAGCGCGCGUAGGUGGCUUCGUAAGUCCGUUGUGAAAGUCAGAGGCUCAACCUUUGAAAGCCGAUGGAUACUGCGGAGCUAGAGUACGGAAGAGGCGAGUGGAAUUCCUGGUGUAGCGGUGGAAUGCGCAGAUAUCAGGAGGAACACCAAUAGCGAAGGCAGCUCGCUGGGACGUUACUGACACUGAGGCGCGAAAGCGUGGGGAGCGAACAGG